AUGCAAAUUGCAGUUGAACGCAAACAGCAAGAAAAUGCAAAAAUUGCUUGUGUCAUUAAGCGUAAGUCAAGCUUCUGAAGCUGUGUCCUUAAGGGGUUAAUUUAAGAAUUUCCAAUUCUCUUGUCAUUUUUCUAGAAUUGUCAACCCCCAAAUCUAACCCUUUUCCCCAUACCCCUCUCUCCCUUUCAAAGCACUCCUACUAAAUCACCAUCCUCCAGUCACAAUCAAUACUGCACAUAAAGAACUGAAUACCCCUUCCACUACUCCCAAGCAGCUAUCCCCAAGCGAUCCUUAGCAGUCUCUGCCCCUAGAGAGCCAGCUUUCAUGGUGUUUUUACUGAGCAGAACUGAGCAGUGAUAGUCAACCACUGGCACUCCAGCUGCUGCAGAGCCGCGCAGAGCAUCACGGGAUGUGUAGUUCUUAACACUUGGCAACGUAUCCCUGCAGUGAAAGCCUUGAGGACCACCGCUCUUGACCAAACCAUAGCUAAUUCCGCCUUGACGGAAC